rnacentral:rRNA from 1 species
UACGAAGGGGGCUAGCGUUGCUCGGAAUUACUGGGCGUAAAGCGCGUGUAGGCGGCCAGGUAGGUCCGCUGUGAAAACCCGAGGCUCAACCUCGGGACGUCGGCGGAAACCAUUUGGCUAGAGUCCGGAAGAGGAGAGUGGGAUUCCCGGUGUAGCGGUGAAAUGCGCAGAUAUCGGGAAGAACACCCGUGGCGAAGGCGGCUCUCUGGGACGGUACUGACGCUGAGACGCGAAAGCGUGGGGAGCGAACAGG